GUGGUUAUUUAAUGCAAGAAAUAUCUGAGAGUUAUAUUAAAGAUGGAGGAUGAAAUAAAUCAGAAGAGCA